GAGCAAGGAAGAUGCCUGGUGCUGCCUCUCAGCUCCUUCCUGAGAGGCCUGAGGGCCCUGCGGAGGUUUGUGACCAACAGCUUCCACUCUUGUGACCGUGGCCCUGGGCCAGGAGACACGGGCACUUCCCAUGGGGUUGGCUGCUUGCUCCAUCCCACUCCUCCCCAGUAAGUCCAGGAGGGUCUGAGCACAGGGCUGGGGGACCAAAGGGUGCUGAGAAGAGGGUGUUCAGGGAGGCCCCUCUGCAGCACCCAUGCCUUGGGGUUUGGGGGCUAUUUCUGGAGAUGUGAAAGGAGGCAUUUCCUGCUGAGAAGAGUUGUUUUCUGGUCUGCUUUCAUGAAAGCAAGUACCUCACUGGCUGUUUGCCUUCAGAUAUUAGAGAAGCAGGUGAUUUCCCUGAGCUGGAGGAAAGAUGGAUUGAAUUUGGCUGUGCAGAGCUCUUCCCUGAGAACAGGUCCCUGCUGCUGCUCACAGAGAGCGUCACCUGCAGGUGGCAAACCCAGACUGGACACAUCCCCCAGCCAAGCACAGGCAAUUUGAGUGGAGGCAGCAGUAAUUGGGCUGACAACGAUGGCCCCGGCCAUGCUCAUGGGCAGGAAGGAUGGGGUGAGAGCUGGGAUGUGUCGUGUUCACCUGUGGGUGAUGGGCUCUGCCAUGAAGCUUGGUGGUUCACAGUGUGAUGGACACUGCUUAUAUAGUUGCAUUUUACCAUUUAUGCGCUUUUAAUCCCUGUUUGUUACUCUUGGUGCUUUGCGAAUCCUUAUCACAGUUCUCUUAUGGCUUCUCAAGCCCUGCUGGAGCUGGAGGAAUGCUUAAAUCCCUCAUCUUCCACUUUCCAAUGAGCCUUGUCCUGCCUUUGCUGCUGGUACUCAAGGUCCCCAUCUCAGAGCCGGUGGGAGGCUUCCCCCGCUGCUGAUGGGUGAUGCUGCUUCAGCAGCGCUGAGCCCUGGUGCUCUCACCUCCUGCCCUGGCGUCCCUCGAGGCUCUAAAAUAGGAUCAUAGAAAGCUCACAGACACCGCCCUCUUCCCCAGGCCCCACCACCAGCAGUCGUAGCAGCCCCUGAGCUGAGGCAGGAAGAAAACUUGGGCUGACAAUGAACCCCUGCGCUGCACGGGGCGCUGAGGAAGAGGCACCAACUUCCUCCCUGGCUGAGCUGAUCCCGAGCAGAGGCGAGGUGACCAUCAGCCUGAGCUUCAGUUCCUCUGCUGUGGCCCAGAGAUGCUGUCAUCUGACCGGCGCUGCUGGAGCCUCGGCUCCAUCUUGCUGCUCCUCGGUCUUGCGUGUGGAGGAGUCUCAAGUGGAAAGCACGGAGGUGGAGGAUAUGGUCAGCAUUUACGUCUGAAUUGGAGACAGUGUUGACCAGCUGCAGCCGAAGGUGACACCAGAGGUCAUGUAUGCAUCCAUCAACAUAUCCUGAUCCACCAGGACCAAACACUGGACCCUACCACCUCCUGCUGUGACCGUGGGAGCUGCCUCAAGCAGGAGCUUUGCAGAACAUAGUCGUGCCUCGAAGCAGAGAGGAUGUCUUUGUCGCUGAUUCUGCACCCUCAGGGCUCCCCCUCCUGCAGCUACACGCUUGGCUGUAAAGGAUUUGGAGCAACAGAAGUGCAUUAGUUUGUCUGGAAAGUCCCUCUUAAAUUUGAAGGACAAGCUGGUUUCAGCUUCUCCUUGAGACUUCCUGGGAAUACAGAGACACCUGGAGUAAAGGAAAGAUGCUGAAGGCAAAUCAUGCAGAGCUUGUUGCCACAAACUCCAUUUAGUUACAGGGUAACAGAGAGCAUUAUAUGGAUUUUAAUCAUGAGUCCCAGGUUUGCUACCCCAUGUCUUGUCAUUCAAGGAACAUAUGAAGAUCCUUUGACCUGAAAA